GAUUCAGCGGCGGACGGGUGAGUAAUGCCUAGGAAUCUGCCUAGUAGUGGGGGACAACGUUUCGAAAGGAACGCUAAUACCGCAUACGUCCUACGGGAGAAAGUGGGGGAUCUUCGGACCUCACGCUAUUAGAUGAGCCUAGGUCGGAUUAGCUAGUUGGUAGGGUAAAGGCCUACCAAGGCGACGAUCCGUAACUGGUCUGAGAGGAUGAUCAGUCACACUGGAACUGAGACACGGUCCAGACUCCUACGGGAGGCAGCAGUGGGGAAUAUUGGACAAUGGGCGAAAGCCUGAUCCAGCCAUGCCGCGUGUGUGAAGAAGGCCUUCGGGUCGUAAAGCACUUUAAGUUGGGAGGAAGGGCUCAUAGCGAAUACCUGUGAGUUUUGACGUUACCAACAGAAUAAGCACCGGCUAACUUCGUGCCAGCAGCCGCGGUAAUACGAAGGGUGCAAGCGUUAAUCGGAAUUACUGGGCGUAAAGCGCGCGUAGGUGGCUUGAUAAGUUGGAUGUGAAAUCCCCGGGCUCAACCUGGGAACUGCAUCCAAAACUGUCUGGCUAGAGUGCGGUAGAGGGUAGUGGAAUUUCCAGUGUAGCGGUGAAAUGCGUAGAUAUUGGAAGGAACACCAGUGGCGAAGGCGACUACCUGGACUGACACUGACACUGAGGUGCGAAAGCGUGGGGAGCAAACAGGAUUAGAUACCCUUGGUAGUCCACGCCGUAACGAUUGUCAACUAGCCGUUGGGAUCCUUGAGA
rnacentral:rRNA from 1 species